ensembl:snRNA U2 U2 spliceosomal RNA
AUCGCUUCUUAGCCUUUUGGCGAAGAUCAAGUGUAAACUGUUCACAGCAUAGUAAGGCUGUUUUUGCCCUUUGUCUUGUUCACUAAGACGUAGCUGUGUCAGUGAAUAAUAACAUUUUCUUGAUAUUGCAGUUCCUGGAAGUUCAUCUAAAUGGGAGGAAGUACAGUCCAAAGCGAAGCAUUUAUUAUUGAACACAUUUGGCAUGUAUAAAUGUACUAUUC